rnacentral:lncRNA from 1 species
CAUUUUUCGUAAAUUAAAGUAAUCUUUUACAAAAAUCUUCUCCUCUGAAACUACUGGGCCAAAUUAAUCCAAACUUGGCCACAAUCAUCUUUGGGGUAUCUAGUUUAAAAAAUGUGUGGCGUGACCUGGUCAACCAACCAAGAUGGCCGCCACGGCUAAAAAUAGAACAUAGGGGUAAAAUGCAGUUUUUGGCUUAUAACUCAAAAACCAAAGCAUUUUGAGGAAAUCUGACAUGGGGGUAAAAAUGUUUAUCAGGUCAAGAUCUAUCUGCCCUGAAAUUUUCAGAUGAAUCGGUCAAUUGGUUGUUGGGUUGCUGCCCCUGAAUUGGUAAUUUUGAGGAAAUUU